GAGAAGAAGAAGGCAAGAGCAGGGGUAGGAAGGGAUUUCUGAUGGUCCUACUUUGUCAGUGUGGGCUGUAUACAUAGUGACUUCCUUCCAAAGAGUAGCAUGGAAAGAGAGGGUGGGGGUGACUUAGCAAGCACUGCCUGAGUCAGGGGAGGUCAGCAUCCUCGACAGGAUGAAGUGUGGAGAGCUCUGUGGCUUUCUUCCCAGUGAGCCACAAUCUAAGCAUCAGAGCAACAUGCAAGUUCAGUUCAGCAGACUACCUGCCAGUGUCUCUCAAAACACCACGUCUUCCACAACAAGGGAAGUCUGAGAGCCGGGUAGGAGGCUGAGUUGGAGACAUGGUGACUGAAGGCUGAGGCGUGGUGACUGAAGGUGCUCUGUUCUACAUGGAAGCCUGUCCAGAGGAGCACAUGGCAGAAAACAAAUCUGAGUACAGGAUGCCAUGCAAGUGAGUAGAGCUGUUCCGUGUCCUCCGAAGGGCUCUUAGACUGUGCUGUGUGUAUAACUGAGAGAGCAGUGGCCUGGAGGUCACAGCCCUGGCAUUUAGGUUACACUGUCCUUGGCAGUCAGACAGGCACUGAACAGAGCAGUGCUCCGGACUUCAGUAUCCUGUUUCUGUAAGACUGGGCUAACAAUGUGAUACUGCACUCUUUUUUGCAGUUCCGUUUGGAGACCCAAAUGAAUUCAUGAAUGUCAAAUACUUUGGAAAGCUUACGAAGUUCUAGAUACAAUGAUAUGCCUUCAGUCCUUAGUCUAACACCCAAACUUGAAGGGAGCAGCAGCGCUGAGUGAUUACCGCUGAGUGGCCCCUUUCGCAGUCUGCUGAUGGCUCCGACCUAGUCAUCUGAAGCUGAAGAGUGCGAUUCUGUGUGCCCCACUGACACCUCAUCUGUCACAGAGCAUUACAAGAGUAUCUGUCUGUUUUAGAUAUAGAUUACAACAUCUCAAGCUACAAGAUCCUUUCUACUUCACUAUUACCCAGCCAGCCCGGUGCUGUACUUUGUGAUAUGCUAUUGUGUUGGGGAACUCUUCUGAGACUCUAAUGGAAUAAAGAUGUCUGAAAUCCA